AAAUGCGUAGAUAUUAGGAGGAACACCGGUGGCGAAGGCGGCUUACUGGACUGUAACUGACGCUGAGUCACGAAAGCGUGGGUAGCAAACAGGAUUAGAUACCCUGGUAGUCCCACGCCGUAAACGAUGAGUGCUAGGUGUUGGGCAGCAAUGCUCAGUGCCGAAGUAAACACAAUAAGCACUCCGCCUGGGGAGUACGUACGCAAGUAUGAAACUCAAAGGAAUUGACGGGGACCCGCACAAGCAGCGGAGCAUGUGGUUUAAUUCGAAGCAACGCGAAGAACCUUACCAAGGCUUGACAUCCCCUUGACAGAUGCAGAGAUGUGUCCUCCUCUUCGGAGGCAAGGGAGACAGGUGGUGCAUGGUUGUCGUCAGCUCGUGUCGUGAGAUGUUGGGUUAAGUCCCGCAACGAGCGCAACCCUUAUCCUUAGUUGCCAGCAUGUAAAGAUGGGCACUCUAAGGAGACUGCCGGUGAUAAACCGGAGGAAGGUGGGGAUGACGUCAAAUCAUCAUGCCCCUUAUGUCUUGGGCUACACACGUACUACAAUGGCUAUUACAGAGGGAAGCGAAGCCGCGAGGUGGAGCAAAUCUCCAAAAAUAGUCCCAGUUCAGAUUGUAGGCUGAAACUCGCCUACAUGAAGUCGGAAUUGCUAGUAAUGGCAGGUCAGCAUACUGCCGUGAAUACGUUCCCGGGCCUUGUACACACCGCCCGUCACACCAUGAGAGUCUGCAACACCCGAAGUCAGUAGUCUAACUUUUUAAGAGGACGCUGCCGAAGGUGGGGCCGAUGAUUGGGGUGAAGUCGUAACAAGGUAACCGUA
rnacentral:rRNA from 1 species